GUGUGUCUGGCCUGCAUAGUGUGUUAUAUUGUGUGUAAUUGUUUGUGUCUGGCCUAUAUAGUGUCUGGCCUGCAUAGUGUGUCUGGACUAUAUAGUGUGUUAUUGUGCGUGUCUGGCCUAUACAGUGUGCAUGGCCUAUAUAGUGUUAUUGUGCGUGUCUGGCCUAUAUAGUGUCUUAUUGUUUGUGUCUGGCCUGCAUAGUGUGUUAGAAAUAUACAAAGAAGUACAAGUGGGGCGCUUCAAAAAAUAACAAUCCGUAUACAGAAGGGUGACAUAGGUGUUUUCCCCACACCUAAAUAGAAGUACAAAACACCAAAUCACCUACAACAAAGUGUAAGGAGUCACACAGAGUAUAGCGUGUUAUUGUGCCUAUCUGGCCUCCAUAGUGCGCUCUUUCAUUGGCGUUAUCCCUGCUUCCCUUAAGCAUGCUACUAUCGUACCAAUCCUAAAAAAGCCAUCCCUAGACCCGUCUUCCACUUCCAACUAUCGUACCAUAAACCCUUUUUCCUCAAAGCUUCUAGAAAGACUUGUCUUCACUCGUAUGACUCGCUUCCUAAAUUCCAACUCCCUCCUCGAUCCUCUUCAAUUUGGCUUUCACCCCCUCCACUCUACUGAGACUGCUCUUAUUAAAGUUACAAAUGACCUAAUCAGAGCCAAAUCCAAAGGCUACUACUCUAUACUAAUUCUUGACCUCUCUGCUGCUUUUGAAACUGUUGAUUAUAGCCUCCUUCUCCUAACUUUUCAAUCUCUCGGUCUCUGUGACACAGCCCUCUCGUGGUUCUCCUCCUAUCUUUUCCAACGCUUCUUUAGUGUGUCUUUUUCCAACAGCACCUCCUCGUCCUGUCUCAGUCGGAGUCCCUCAAGGUUCGUUUCUAGGUCCCAUUUUGUUCUCUCUAUGCUGUCUCUCUUGUAAACUCAUUAAUUAAUUUGGAAUCCAAUACAUAAAACCCCCUAAAAGUUACAUCCCCUGAUAGCCCCUAUCUGGGAGACCAACAUAUUCAAAAUUCACCCAGAUCGGUUCAGGAUUUUCCUGGAAGUCAUAAUUUGACCCACUGCCUGCAUGAUCCCAUGCCCAAAACAGUUCCAAAGAAUCAGGGCUUGCGGUCGGUUGUGAUGAACUGUACCUUGUCACUGUUUCUUGGAGGGGCCUGCUUGCCAGCCUCCUGCCCACAGACUAUGGACCCUGUAAACUGUGAUAUAAAAGUCUGUUUAUGUAUUUGAAUUAUAUGGUUCGUUUACCGAGCAGCCGCACAAACCGGAGACCACCCUGGAGUUUAAGCUUCAUUGAUACAUUGUUGCAAUUUGCACUUCUGUGGUCUGUGUUCGUCUGCAAUUCCUAUUCCCACGAGGUGGCGGCCAUCUUGUUCGUAUGGACCAAAAUCGCGAAUAGACUUUAGGGGGACUUAGCCGCGAAUGCCCUGGAACUAUUUUCGGCAUGAAAACUUUGCCUUUCCCGGUCAGUCCUCCAGCGGCAGUUAGCCGCAAUCCUAUGGAACUAUUUUCGGCUAUGGGGCCAUGCUUGCAGUAGGUCAAAUAAAUGACUUCCAUGAAACUCCUGAAUUCAUCUGGGUGAUGUUGGUCACUCAGAUCAGGGCUAUCAGCUGAUGUAACAUUUGUGGGUGUUUAUGUAUUUUUAGGGUGUUUUCAAAAGUAUGUUAUUUCUGUGCUUGGAGAUAAUUGGAUUAAAAUUAGUACAGUUACUGAUCCAAUUAGCUCCCAAGCAGAGGGGAGGGAUUGUGUAAGGGAUUGUCGUGCAUUGUAACCUUAUUGUUAUUGGUCUGUGAUGUUGUAAAUCAGUCCACCAUCAGGUCCAUGUGGGCGUACCCCCUGCAUGGGGAUUGUCAUAUAAGGCCAAGUGUGGCUCCCAUUAAACUGAGAUUCGUUUACCACCUUCAUGAAGUCUUGGCUCAUGUUUGGGGAUUGCUAUAAUCACUAUACUCCCCUGAGUAAAAUCACUGUUCCUGCUAUGCUCUCUGGACUAGGAGAGGUCUACUCACUGGAAGCUAGAUCCUGGUUUUGGGUCCAGGGUGGGUGGAGGACGUUGAGACUCCAACCAAGCUACGGUGGUUCGUGGGGUUUAUGGUGGUUAUGGUGUUUCAGUACAGUGCUUAUGGUGCUCGCAAGUACUAGGAAGCAGCUAUUUAUGGAGGUACCCGGUCGGGGUGCCAGGCGGUCCGUCACAUCGCUCUAGUUCAGAUGUUUAAAAACCGAACAAACUACCGAACAUAGUCAGUGUUCCUUCCCUGAACAGUGCCUUUUUAAGUGUAGAACCGAACAUAGGCGAUCAUGGAAGUCCAGCGGUGUUCGGUAAUUUGUGUCGGAAAAUAGUUCCAUGAACUCGACGACCAAACACCGCUGUCUGUGUUCAUGUGAACAAGAUGGCCGCCACCUCAUGGUCGUCCAUAGGAAAUGCGGCCACCCAGACGCACACUUAGUAAGAAUUUCCACCUCAGUAUUCUAUGUAGCAAUUAGGCUUAACGAGCCCCAGGGUGGUCUCCGGUUCGUGCGGCUGUUCGGAUCCUGAACCAUAUAGUCCAAAUACACAAAUGGAGCCUUUUACAUUACAUUUUACAGGGUCCAUAGUCUGUGGGCCGGAAGCUGGC
rnacentral:lncRNA from 1 species